rnacentral:rRNA from 1 species
UACAGAGACUGCAAGCGUUAUUCGGAUUCACUGGGCGUAAAGGGUGCGCAGGCGGCCAUGUGUGUUAGGUGUGAAAGCCCGAGGCUUAACCUCGGAAUUGCGCCUAAAACUAUAUGGCUAGAGCAUUGGAGAGGGUAGCGGAAUUCACGGUGUAGCAGUGAAAUGCGUAGAUAUCGUGAGGAACACCAGAGGCGAAGGCGGCUACCUGGACAAUUGCUGACGCUCAGGCACGAAAGCGUGGGGAGCAAAAGGGAUUAGAUACCCCUGUAGUCCACGCCCUAAACGGUGCACACUAGGUCUUAGCGGAUUCGAUCCCGCUAGGGCCCAAGCUAACGCGUUAAGUGUGCCGCCUGAGGACUACGGUCGCAAGACUA